GACGAACGCUGGCGGCGUGCUUAACACAUGCAAGUCGAACGGAAAGGCCCUGCUUUUGUGGGGUGCUCGAGUGGCGAACGGGUGAGUAACACGUGAGUAACCUGCCCUUGACUUUGGGAUAACUUCAGGAAACUGGGGCUAAUACCGGAUAGGAGCUCCUGCUGCAUGGUGGGGGUAGGAAAGUUUCGGCGGUUGGGGAUGGACUCGCGGCUUAUCAGCUUGUUGGUGGGGUAGUGGCUUACCAAGGCUUUGACGGGUAGCCGGCCUGAGAGGGGGACCGGCCCAAUUGGGAAUGAGAAACGGCCCAAUCACGCACGGGAGGGAGAGGGGGGGUAUGUUCAGCAAUGGGCGGAGCUCUAAUACAGCAACGCCGGGUGGGGGAAUACGCCCUUGGGGUUUGAAACCGCUUUCGCCUGGGACGAGGGGUGAGUGAGGGUAAUGGGUAAAGAAACACCGGAUAACCAGGU
rnacentral:rRNA from 1 species